UACGUAGGGGUGCAAGCGUUGUCCGGAAUUAUUGGGCGUAAAGGAGCUCGUAGGCGGUCUGUCGCGUCUGCUGUGAAAACUCAGGGCUUAACCUGAGCUUGCGGUCGAUACGGGCAUGACUGGAGUUCGGUAGGGGAGACUGGAAUUCCGUGGUGUAAGCGGUGAAAUGCGCAGAUAAUCACGGAGGAACGCCGGUGGCGAAGGCGGGUCUCCUGGGCCGAUACUGACGCUGAAGGAGCGGAAAGCGUGGGGAGCGAACAGG
rnacentral:rRNA from 1 species